UUUGAGCUGUGCGUCGCUUUCGCACUUAUUAGUGUUGUCAAAAACAAAAAGAGAGAUUCGACUCAGUCGAAGUCUUCCGUGCAGUAAGGUACUUUUAAGUUGUUUGGGGUAUACUCAAAAUUAGGUAAAUUCAACUUAAAUUUAAGUAAAUUAAACUCAAGGUUGAGUUAUUAUUUUUGCCGUAGUUAAAUGGAAACUACCUUCAACACGGUUUACCUAAUUUUACCUUCCUGCACGAUACCACGAGAUUGAGUCAAAAGUACUGAAUUUUAGGUAGUUUUUCGGUGGCGUGUAGUUUGCAGAUGGUAGAUAGAAUGGCAGGCUGUUAGCGGAUUGACAAAGUACCAGAUCAAGCUGUGUGGGGUGCUGUCCCAGUUAACAAUGAGGCGAACGAGAUAUUUGCUGAUACGUCAUUUAGUCGGACAACUGUCAGUUUGUUGGUUGAAUUUAAUUUGGUUUUUUUUUAAUUUGAAAAUCAGAAAAUAAUAAUUAAGGUUUAAGAAUGAUAUGAGUGUACUCGUAAGGACACCUGCUAUCAAUAAAUGUGAAAAAAUUGGCACAAUUUUUCCAAAUUAAAGAUCCCUAUAGUUAAGUACCAUUUUUUCGCUCAACAGCAACGAUGUUUGCGAACAGAUUUCUUAUAUUUCAGUAUUCAUCGUGAUCGUUACCCACCGCACUAUAUUCUGUACGCACAUCUAUCCGGACAGAAUUUCGGAUCGUUUUAUCAUGAUCGUAGGUGCACUCAUCGCUACAUCAACGAAACUCUACGAUCACCAUUCCGACAGAAUAUCGGACUCCACCCUCUACGAGCAUCAUCCCUACAGAAUAUCGUAGCAGACUGGACCGCACAGAAGUUUUCUGUGAUCGCCGUCGACGAGUCACCAUCACCUAGCAACACUAUCUCCGGACAGUUUUCGGCCCGUACUACGUCAUCGCAAGAAACAGACAACACAGCUACACCGCUAGUCCAUACCAACUAGCAGGAUCGUCAAAGCUACCGACAUCAUCAAUAUUCCAGUAGUUCGGCCCAUAUCACUGGCCUAAACAACUACUGGUUGCAUUUUCACGAUAAUUCAAGGCGGGGAGAAUGUUCACGCCGAAGUGAACAUCGUACCAGAUAAUUAUUUUGACCCCCCAAAUCGACACCAGCAGAUAGUGUGCCAAAUCGCUUAUUUUCACCCCGGUGGCACAGAUUAAAUUAUCCUUCAAUUUCGAUCAGCUGGCGCACAGGCAAACCGAAGGCAAGCUAUCAUCAUCGUUACCCAGCUGAUUGCUGCCAAUUGCCACUGGAGAUGAACAAUGCUUUUUGCAAUCCGACGCUUUCCAUGCAAAUUCGUCGCCGUAGCAGCACCGAGAGCAGAUGAUCGCACACGGUUGGAUCAUCUUCCCCUUCAGCCAUCUCGUGUCCUGUGGGAGCAGCAGGACAGUACGGCAGUACAAAGUUUAUCGCCGAAUAACACAGUCCAGCGCAACCAACUGUACGUCGCGCUCGCCGUGCAUACGUCGCACGCCCGUAUCCCCACAGACCGGGACUUAGAAUAAAAAUCGAAGCAGUGAAAUUUAAAAAUAACAAUCAUGUGCAUAGUGUAAAUAAAUGUUGCUUGUUCUAGAAAAUAGACCUUUAGUGUU